rnacentral:lncRNA from 1 species
UGCAUUUUGAGGGUAUGAACUAUGAACUAUGAAGAGGCUCCUCAAGGUAAAAAUGACUAUUUUGUUAUAGAAGAUAUUCUUCAGAAAUUCAGUUCUUUGCAUACAUUUUUGAACUCCAUAGUUUUCACACUUUGUUUUAUGGUCCUUUGCACUUGAAUCAGAAUAAAUGAUUAAACUGAGUCACUUGUUAAAAAUUGCAACAUGUCCAAUAUCCCUGCACAGAGAUUUUUUGUUUACAUAUUAUAUUUGAGUGUCUGAAUUUAAGGGAUAUUGACUCAUGAGUGAAGAUAUGUUGUCAAAUGUUUUAAAACCACAC